rnacentral:rRNA from 1 species
AUUGAACGCUGGCGGCAUGCUUUACACAUGCAAGUCGAACGGCAGCGGGGGCUUCGGCCUGCCGGCGAGUGGCGAACGGGUGAGUAAUGCAUCGGAACGUACCCAGUCAUGGGGGAUAACUACGCGAAAGCGUAGCUAAUACCGCAUACGCCCUGAGGGGGAAAGCGGGGGAUCGCAAGACCUCGCGUGAUUGGAGCGGCCGAUGUCGGAUUAGCUAGUUGGUGGGGUAAAGGCCUACCAAGGCGACGAUCCGUAGCGGGUCUGAGAGGAUGAUCCGCCACACUGGGACUGAGACACGGCCCAGACUCCUACGGGAGGCAGCAGUGGGGGAAUAUUGCGCAAUGGGCGAAAGCCUGACGCAGCGACGCCGCGUGGGUGAUGAA